rnacentral:rRNA from 1 species
AGAGUUUGAUCAUGGCUCAGAUUGAACGCUGGCGGCAUGCUUUACACAUGCAAGUCGAACGGCAGCGCGGGGGCAACCCUGGCGGCGAGUGGCGAACGGGUGAGUAAUGCAUCGGAACGUAUCCUGUAAUGGGGGAUAACGUAGCGAAAGUUACGCUAAUACCGCAUACGCUCGAGAGAGGAAAGUGGGGGAUCGCAAGACCUCACGUUAUAGGAGCGGCCGAUGUCCGAUUAGCUAGUUGGUGGGGUAAAGGCCUACCAAGGCGACGAUCGGUAGCUGGUCUGAGAGGAUGAUCAGCCACACUGGGACUGAGACACGGCCCAGACUCCUACGGGAGGCAGCAGUGGGGAAUUUUGGACAAUGGGCGAAAGCCUGAUCCAGCCAUGCCGCGUGCGGGAAGAAGGCCUUCGGGUUGUAAACCGCUUUAGUCCGGGAAAAAGGGGUGCGAGGAUAAUACCCUCGUGCUUUGAUGGUACUGGAAGAAUAAGCACCGGCUAACUACGUG